UACGUAGGGGCCAAGCGUUGUCCGGAAUCAUUGGGCGUAAAGCGCGUGUAGGCGGCCAGAAAAGUCCGCUGUGAAAACUCGAGGCUCAACUUCGAGCUGUCGGUGGAAACUUUCUGGCUAGAGUCCGGAAGAGGAGAAUGGAAUUCCUGGUGUAGCGGUGGAAAUGACGCAGAUAUCAGGAAGAACACCCGUGGCGAAGGCGGUUCUCUGGGACGGUACUGACGCUGGAGACGGCGAAAGCGUGGGGAGCGAACAGG
rnacentral:rRNA from 1 species